GCUGGCGGCAGGCCUAAACAUGCAAGUCNAACGCCGUAGCAAUACGGAGUGGCAGUACGGGUGAGUAACACGUGGGAACGUGCCCUUUGGUUCGGAACAACACAGGGAAACUUGUGCUAAUACCGGAUAAGCCCUUACGGGGAAAGAUUUAUCGCCAGAGGAUCGGCCCGCGUCUGAUUAGCUAGUUGGUGAGGUAACGGCUCACCAAGGCUACGAUCAGUAGCUGGUCUGAGAGGAUGAUCAGCCACACUGGGACUGAGACACGGCCCAGACUCCUACGGGAGGCAGCAGUUAGGAAUCUUGGACAAUGGGCGCAAGCCUGAUCCAGCCAUGCCGCGUGAGUGAUGAAGGCCUUAGGGUUGUAAAGCUCUUUCAGCGGGGAAGAUAAUGACGGUACCCGCAGAAGAAGCCCCGGCUAACUUCGUGCCAGCAGCCGCGGUAAUACGAAGGGGGCUAGCGUUGCCCGGAAUCACUGGGCGUAAAGCGCACGUAGGCGGCUUUCUAAGUCAGGGGGUGAAAUCCUGGAGCUCAACUCCAGAACUGCCCUUGAUACUGGAGAGCUUGAGUCCGGAAGAGGUGAGUGGAACUCCGAGUGUAGAGGUGAAAUUC
rnacentral:rRNA from 1 species